GGUCACUUUACCAGAACCGGGCCCCUUGUUUGAUGAGGCAGAUACACUUGUGUGGGAUUCGGACGAUGAUGUGGUGGUUAUAAAUUUAAAACAUGUUGAUGAGGAUGUCACACAGAGCACAGAGGUGGGUGGAGCACCUACACAGGUGAUACAGCUUCUACUCCCUUCAGGUGAUGGCCUACCUACACUGGAUGAGCAGCAGUCCAUACACGAGGAAGCAGCACAAACUGCCCAGCUGGACAGUGGGCUAAAUUUCAAUUUGCCCUCAUAUUCAAGCAGCCAGAUGUCAACAGACAGCAACCCAGGAAGUCCCCAGACCACACGACGUACCUCAGUUUGCAGGAUAAAGGUUGUUGAUGAUCUUUUGCCUGUAUUUACUGACAGCAGCAUCAUGAAUAUGACUUUAAAGAUGGACUUUGUCAAUGAAAAAGCUA